rnacentral:lncRNA from 1 species
AGGGACACUUAUACCUAUACUACUCACCAGCUACUCUUGACAACAGAGUGCUCAGUAUAUGAUCAUGCUCGAUGCUAAUGUACUUUUACAUACCAUCUAUGUGCCAUAACAGUGUCUCUACACUCCUUGGUUAAAAGGAUAACUAACUCAUAUAGUAUACAAUGACCUAUAUUCAAUAUUGCUAUCUUCUUAUUAAUAGCAUAUCAUUUUAUCGUGAACAUUUUUAAGGACUAAAUGACAAAUCC